rnacentral:lncRNA from 1 species
AUGCCCCAGGUCAGCCCUCCAUCCAUGGGUGUGAGAGAAAGGAACUGUGGGAGAAAGAGAAAAAGCCAGUUUCUGGCUGGACCACUGGAAAUGGAAAUAAUAUAUAACGAAGCUGGAAAGAUGGGUUGGUGCCAAGUUGUAAAGGGCUUUAAAAGCCAAACAGAAGAAUUUAUAUUUGAUCCUAGAGGCAAUGGGGAGUCACUGAAUUUUAAUGGUAGAAGAGUGAUAUAGUCUGAUCUAAGUUUAAGGAAAAUCCCUUUAGCAGCAGUGUGGCGGGUGGAAUGGACUGGAGAGAUAAUUGAAGCAAGGAGACCAGUUAGCAAGGUUUUGCAAUAUUCCAGGUGAGAAGUAAAGAAGGCCUGGAUUAGGGUGAUGUUUUAGACUGUACUAUUAUUCCUAUACUGAAGCUGUGAUUUGAUAUUCGAUACCAGUGUACCUUUGGCAUGGCAUCACUGAUUGUUUGCCUUGCUGCAUCAGUUCUGUCCUUUAUAAUCCCCAGUGAUUUUUGUUCUGUCUUUAGGCUGUCUUUAGUUCCUCUUUAACCUUUGCAAAUAUUAGACUGUUUUCCAGAUUGUUUCUAACUCUGCUUCAUCACCCUGGCCUGUAGUCUUAAAGAGCUAUUGAUACCACUCUGUCUUUUCUCACCUAUUUUUCACUGUGCCUUUUGAAAUCCUGGCAAUGGCAGGAUAGAAUUGAUAUCAUACACCAUAAAGUCAUUGAGCCAAACUGUUCAAAUCACAAGACUAGGAUAGUCUAAUGACUUCCACAGUACUCACCAUCAGUUAGUUUCAGAGACAAGUCUCCAUUGAAACAUCAAAGUAGUUUCUGCCAAUCACUCUAGCAACAGGUAUCCUUUUGUCCAUGCCUCCAAAGUUUGGGUGCCUGACUCAAAAAAUCAGCUCAUAGCCUAUUCCUCUAUUGGCCAGUCCAAUGUAGCUGACUUCUGCGUAUUUACAGUUUGUAACUCUUUUAUUUUGAAAACCAUUUGUAUCCUUUGACUAUAUUUACUGGAGUAUAAAUCUCGGUUUGACAAAUUUGUAUCAAUUCUCUACAUAUUUUGUACACAAGACAUUUGUUGGUGAUAUUUGAUACAAAUAAUUUCCCCAAUCUUCAGUUUCUCUUUCCAGUCUUUCUUGACUCUAUUUGUGAAAAACUUUUUAAAUUUUAUGUGAUAGAAAUGGCCUAUUUUGUCUUUCAUGAUUUUCUCUAUCCUUUGUUUUGUUAAGAAUUCUCCCUCUAGUUUGCCGUCUUGGGGAGGGGGAAGGGAAAGGAUUGAGAAAAAAUUUUGGAACUCGAAAUCUUGUAAAAGUGAAUGCUGAAAACUAUCUUUGCAUGUAAUUGGAAAAAAUAAAAUACUGUUAAGUGGGGGGGGGAAAGAAUUC